UAACAUGCGUCCCUAGCUGGUGUGAGAAUCAACAACGACUCUCACUGAAAAGGGAAUCUGGUGUAACUCCAGAACUGACGCGCAGCGGUAAUAGAGAACGAACCUCAAGAAGACACUGUUAAUCAGACGGGAAGUCGAGGUAGUAGGCGGGGAUAGGCAUUAUCCCUCUGCUCUAAAGUCCGAAUACCUGCCAGCAAUCGACUCGAUGU
rnacentral:ncRNA from 1 species